GGGCUCCCUUCAUGAACUAAUGUGUAAUGUCCAACUCCACCUAGUUGAUGUGCUUCCGGUAGCUCUUCUCAUAGUGGAAGGUCCAUUGACACUUGUCACACUUGUUUUGGGUGUCAGCAUGUCUGGAUGAUCUGUUGAGGGCACCUUCCUCACCCAUCGCUUCCUUCCUGGGGAAGAAGAGUGAGUCAUCAGGACAAUCCUCGGGUAUAUCUCCUUCCACAUCAUCGACGUCUGUGGACCUCAGCCCUGCCCUCUCUUUUUCAGGCAGCAGCUCUGGAAGGGCCUCUCCUUCCUCCUUCUGUCAUCUACCUGUGUAUUCUCAGUGUUCUCCUUUUGACCGGCUGUCUUGGUCUGAGUGUUGUCAGGCAGAUCCUCCGUCUGCGUCUUGGUCUGGUCCUUCAUCUUCCUCACGUACCCCUUCUUAGGAAUGUCAACGAAGACUGCGGCCUGCCAGCCUGUUACUUCUCCUCCCAGAGAUCUCAGCAUCUUCAUUCACCUCUGAUCUCUCCUCCUCGGCUGUGACCGUGACCGUUGCCCUUUUCAACAUCCUCUCCCUCCUCUCUGGUCUUGUUUGACAGAUCAGCCUCUUGGUGGAGGCUCUUUAGGGAAUUUUGUUUACUCCGACCCCCAGCACUCCCUCCUCUACAUCAUCCAAAUCAGCCUCCAUGUCUUGUCACACGGAUGAUUUAGCCCCGUGCGGACUCGAGCUGCCUUCAUCGAGAACCGAGCUGCAAGCCUCCAUAAGGCUUUUACACUCCAACAGUGUCGCCACUUCACAGAUCACGCCAAUCUUGUCUUCAGCAAACUCUUCAUCCACCUCCAGUUUGCCAGUGUAUAUAUAUUCCAAGAACCUGGUGAAAUCAGUGUUUCAGACGUUCCCCAGGAAUAGUUUCUUAGGUGGGUCCGGGGCCAGUAGGAUGUUCUUGAAGUAGCCGCUGGAGGCAGCUAGUACCACCUGUUGAGCCUCAAACUCCUCAAGCUCACCAUGGAAGGCCACCUGGACUGUGACAUCACACAGGUGGCUGUGCAGUCUCAGCUGGUGAAUUGACUGAAGCAUGUCCUCAUGGUGGGAAGGCUGAGGAGAGCUGGACCACUUUGUCACUCACGUUUCAUACUGUCAGUAGUGGAAAAAGUACCCAAUUUCCAUACUUGAGUAAAAGUAAAGAU
rnacentral:lncRNA from 1 species